AAGUCGUAACAAGGUCUCCGUUGGUGAACCAGCGGAGGGAUCAUUACAGAGUUAUUCCAACUCCCAAACCCAUGUGAACUUACCUUUUGUUGCCUCGGCGGGACCCUCACGGGGACCGCCGGUGGACCCUACAAACUCUUGUCAUUUUUAACGGAAAUCUGAGCGUCUUAUUAAAUAAGUCAAAACUUUCAACAACGGAUCUCUUGGUUCUG
rnacentral:misc_RNA from 1 species